rnacentral:rRNA from 1 species
UACGUAGGGGGCAAGCGUUGUCCGGAAUCAUUGGGCGUAAAGCGCGUGUAGGCGGCUCGAUAAGUCUGCUGUGAAAGUCCAGGGCUCAACCCUGGGAUGCCGGUGGAUACUGUCGAGCUCGAGUCCGGAAGAGGCGAGUGGAAUUCCUGGUGUAGCGGUGAAAUGCGCAGAUAUCGGGAGGAACACCAAUGGCGAAGGCAGCUCGCUGGGACGGUACUGACGCUGAGACGCGAAAGCGUGGGGAGCAAACAGG